rnacentral:misc_RNA from 1 species
UCUCCGUAGGUGAACCUGCGGAGGGAUCACUACAGGCUUGCAAAAGCUCUGAAACCACUGUUUAUCUACCUGAAUCUGCUUCGGCGGGCCGCCCCAGGGCGGGUCCGUUGCCGCAAGACGACCACCGAAGCUCCCUCACCUCUAUAGUCUUGAGAAUCUCUGAGUAACAUUUUAAACAAAAAAAAAACUUUCAACAACGGAUCUCUUGGCUCUG